GUUGCAACAGGUUCAAGCGACAAGACCAUUAAGCUGUGGGAUCUUAAAAUGAGAGCAGCUACGCAGACAUUAACUAACCACACAGACCAGGUAUGGUCUGUUGCUUUUGGACCGCCAUCAAGGAUUGAUGUUAGGUCUUGUAUGCUUGCCAGUGUAUCUGAUGACAAGAGUAUAUCUUUCUACCAAUACUCCUAAUUGUCAUGCGCAAGUAAAAGCACAAAUUUUAUUUAUCGUCAUGCGCUGUU
rnacentral:misc_RNA from 1 species